GUGCUCACUUCAGCACAUCUCCUAAAAUUGGAACAAUACAGAAAAGAUUAAAUAGCUCCUACGCCAGUAUGAAAUGCAAAUUUAUGAAGCAUCCCCUAUUUUU
ensembl:snRNA U6 U6 spliceosomal RNA